rnacentral:rRNA from 1 species
UACGGAGGAUCCGAGCGUUAUCCGGAUUCAUUGGGUUUAAAGGGUGCGUAGGUUGUUUUAUAAGUUAGCGGUGAAAUACCGAUGCUCAACAUCGGGGCUGCCGCUGAUACUGUAGGACUAGAGAUCGGAUGCAGCAGGCGGAAUGUGUAGUGUAGCGGUGAAAUGCAUAGAUAUUACUCAGAACACCGAUUGCGCAGGCAGCUUGCUAAUCCGCAUCUGACGCUGAUGCACGAAAGCGUGGGUAGCGAACAGG